UACGUAGGGUGCAAGCGUUGUCCGGAAUUAUUGGGCGUAAAGAGCUCGUAGGUGGCCUGUCGCGUCGGCUGUGAAAACUCGGGGCUCAACUCCGAGCUUGCAGUCGAUACGGGCAGGCUAGAGUUCGGCAGGGGAGACUGGAAUUCCUGGUGUAGCGGUGAAAUGCGUAGAUAUCGGGAGGAACACCAGUGGCGAAGGCGACUAUCUGGGCUGCAACUGACGCUGAGGCGCGAAGGCUAGGGUAGCAAACAGG
rnacentral:rRNA from 1 species